rnacentral:misc_RNA from 1 species
UACGAAGGGCCCAAGCGUUGCGCGGAAUCACUGGGCUUAAAGGGUGCGCAGGCGGAUCGCCAAGUGCCUUGUGAAAUCCCACAGCUCAACUGUGGAAUUGCAGGGCAAACUGGCGAUCUUGAGCCCGGGAGAGGCUGUCGGAACUCUAGGUGGAGCGGUGAAAUGCGUAGAUAUCUAGAGGAACGCCAAAGGCGAAAGCAGACAGCUAGCCCGGCGCUGACGCUGAGGCACGAAAGCGUGGGGAGCGAACGGG